CCUACGGGGGGCUGCAGUGGGGAAUAUUGGACAAUGGGGGCAACCCUGAUCCAGCCAUGCCGCGUGUGUGAAGAAGGCCCUCGGGUUGGAAAGCACUUUCAGUGAGGAAGAACGCCUGGUGGUUAAUACCCAUCAGGAAAGACAUCACUCACAGAAGAAGCACCGGCUAACUCCGUGCCAGCAGCCGCGGUAAUACGGAGGGUGCGAGCGUUAAUCGGAAUUACUGGGCGUAAAGCGCGCGUAGGUGGCUUGAUAAGCCGGUUGUGAAAGCCCCGGGCUCAACCUGGGAACGGCAUCCGGAACUGUCAAGCUAGAGUGCAGGAGAGGAAGGUAGAAUUCCCGGUGUAGCGGUGAAAUGCGUAGAGAUCGGGAGGAAUACCAGUGGCGAAGGCGGCCUUCUGGACUGACACUGACACUGAGGUGCGAACGCGUGGGUAGCAAACAGGAUUAGAUACCCGAGUAGUC
rnacentral:rRNA from 1 species